CCUUACCUUAAAGAAGCGUUCUUUGUAGUGCUCACACAGAUUGUCUGAUNGUAAACGAUGUCGACUUGGAGGUUGUGCCCUUGAGGUGUGGCUUCCGGAGCUAACGCGUUAAGUCGACCGCCUGGGGAGUACGGCCGCAAGGUUAAAACUCAAAUGAAUUGACGGGGGCCCGCACAAGCGGUGGAGCAUGUGGUUUAAUUCGAUGCAACGCGAAGAACCUUACCUGGUCUUGACAUCCACGGAAGUUUUCAGAGAUGAGAAUGUGCCUUCGGGAACCGUGAGACAGGUGCUGCAUGGCUGUCGUCAGCUCGUGUUGUGAAAUGUUGGGUUAAGUCCCGCAACGAGCGCAACCCUUAUCCUUUGUUGCCAGCGGUCCGGCCGGGAACUCAAAGGAGACUGCCAGUGAUAAACUGGAGGAAGGUGGGGAUGACGUCAAGUCAUCAUGGCCCUUACGACCAGGGCUACACACGUGCUACAAUGGCGCAUACAAAGAGAAGCGACCUCGCGAGAGCAAGCGGACCUCAUAAAGUGCGUCGUAGUCCGGAUUGGAGUCUGCAACUCGACUCCAUGAAGUCGGAAUCGCUAGUAAUCGUGGAUCAGAAUGCCACGGUGAAUACGUUCCCGGGCCUUGUACACACCGCCCGUCACACCAUGGGAGUGGGUUGCAAAAGAAGUAGGUAGCUUAACCUUCGGGAGGGCGCUUACCACUUUGUGAUUCAUGACUGGGGUGAAGUCGUAACAAGGUAACCGUAGGGGAACCUGCGGUUG
rnacentral:rRNA from 1 species